rnacentral:rRNA from 1 species
ACGGGAGGCAGCAGUGAGGAAUAUUGGUCAAUGGUCGGAAGACUGAACCAGCCAUGCCGCGUGAAGGAUUAAGGCCCUAUGGGUCGUAAACUUCUUUUGUACGGGAGCAAUAAGAGCCACGUGUGGUUCGAUGAGAGUACCGUACGAAUAAGCAUCGGCUAACUCCGUGCCAGCAGCCGCGGUAAUACGGAGGAUGCAAGCGUUAUCCGGAUUUAUUGGGUUUAAAGGGUGCGCAGGCGGUCUUUUAAGUCAGUGGUCAAAUCGUGGUGCUCAACGCCAUCCCGCCAUUGAUACUGGGAGACUUGAUUGCGGUUGAGGUAGGCGGAAUUCGUCGUGUAGCGGUGAAAUGCAUAGAUAUGACGAAGAACACCGAUUGCGUAGGCAGCUUACCAAGCCGUAAAUGACGCUCAUGCACGAAAGUGCGGGGAUCGAACAGGAUUAGAUACCCUGGUA